UACGUAGGGUGCAGGCGUUAAUCGGAAUUACUGGGCGUAAAGCGUGCGCAGGCGGUCUUUUAAGUCAGAUGUGAAAUCCCCGGGCUUAACCUGGGAACUGCGUUUGAAACUGGAAGGCUUGAGUGUGGCAGAGGGGGGUGGAAUUCCGACGUGUAGCAGUGAAAUGCGUAGAUAUGAUGGAGGAACACCGAUGGCGAAGGCAGCCCCCUGGGCUAACACUGACGCUGAUGCACGAAAGCGUGGGGAGCAAACAGG
rnacentral:rRNA from 1 species